rnacentral:misc_RNA from 1 species
GAUGAAGAACGUAGCGAAAUGCGAUAAGUAAUGUGAAUUGCAGAAUUCAGUGAAUCAUCGAAUCUUUAAACGCACAUUGCGCCCGCUAGUAUUCUGGCGGGCAUGCCUGUCCGAGCGUCAUUUCAACCCUCAAGCCCCCGGGCUUGGUGUUGGGGAUCGGCGAGCCUCCGCGCCCGCCGUCCCCUAAAUCUAGUGGCGGUCUCGCUGUAGCUUCCUCUGCGUAGUAGCACACCUCGCACUGGGAAACAGCGCGGCCACGCCGUUAAACCCCCAACUUCUGAACGUUUGACCUCGGAUCAGGUAGGAAUACCCGCUGAACUUAAGCAUAUCAAUAAGCGGAGGA